CUUUCUUAACUAGAAUGCAUUGUUUUUAUUUAUGGAACUAAAAUAAUGAUAAUAAAUGAGGGAAUUGGAAUAUAUGGUUAUCAAGUGUUGCUCCUUCUGAACAUUUUAUUAUGAAAAUGUCCAAAUACACAGCAAAAUUUAAAGACUUUGGCGACAAAAUACCUACUCUCACCACUUACAUUCUACCAUUGACAUUUUACUUGCUUUAACCAUGUUUGUUCAUCUAUCUGUCUAUCAAUUCAUCUUUUAAGAUGCAUUUUAAAGAAAUUACCUCAACACACAUAUUAUUAACUGGAGUUCAAUUUCAAUAUUUGUUUACAGUAAUUUUCUUUUAAUGUAAAUUUACAGGCAAAGGGCAAAAGAUUACGUGUUCAUUUGCUGAGUUUUUACAAAUGCAUAUAUAUUUAUGUAACUUAAACCCCAUUAGGAGAUACAUUUUUAUCACUCUAGAAAGUUCCCUCUUGUCCUACUAUAUAUAUAUAUAUAUACACACACACAUUUUUGUUUUUGAGAGCAGGUCUCGCUAUGCUGCCCAGGCUGGCCUUGAACUCCUGAUUUCAGGUGAUCCUCCCACCCCAGCCUCCCAAGUAGCUGGGACUACAGGCCUCUAUGGUGUAUUUUAAUUGCUGACAUCCUAUGGGUCAACACUAAGCACAGAGCCAGGUAUAUAGUAAAUGCUCAAUAAUGUUGGUUGAAGUAAGGAAUGAGUCUAGGAAUGAAUGUGCAGGUGGCUUGCUCCCCUAAGGGCAGGACCAUGUCUUCUUCUUUUGCAAUCACCAUGGAAUUGAUACACAUCAAAUGCUUAAUAAAGGCUUAUUGAUUGUGCCUGGGCAGGGUGGCUCACACCUGUAAUCCUAGCACUUUGGGAGUCUGAGGUGGGAGGAUUGCUUGAGCCCAGGAGUUUGAGACCGACCUACACAACAAAGUGAGACCCCAUCUGUACAAAAAUAAUAAUAAUAAUUUAAAAAUUAGCCAAGCAUGGUGAUGCAUGCCUAUUGUCCCAUCUACAUGGGUGGCUAAGGCAGGAGGAUUGCUUGAGCCCAGGAGGUCGAGGUAACAGUGAGUUGUGUUCACCCCAUUGCACUCCAGCCUGGAUGACAGCACGAGAUGGUCUCAAAAACAAAAACAAAACAACAACAAUGACAAAAAAACAAAACAACAACAAACAAAAACAAAAACAAACCUUUGGUGAUUGUAUUAGUUAUAUACUGCCGUGUAACAGAUUACCCAAAAUUUAGCAACUUAAAACUGUGUAAUUAUACAGAAGAAGCAGGAUUGAGAUUUAAAAAAUUGUAACUAUUAAAAAAAAUAAAGACAGGGUCUCACUAUGUCGCCCAGGCUGGUCGGGAACUCCUGGCCUCAGGCAAUCCUCCCACCUUAGCCUCGCAAACUGCUGGGAUUACAAGUGUGAGCCACUGCACCUGGCCAACAUUUAUUAUCUCACACAGUUUCUGUAGGUCAGAAAUGUGGAACUAACUUAGCUUAGUGGUUUUGGCUUGGGAUCUCUUAUGAGGCUGCAGUCAACGCCUGAUGAGAAGUCAUCUGAAGGCUGGACUGGGGCUGGGGGAUCUGUUUCCAAGAUAGUUCACUCAUAUGAUUGUUGGCAGGAGGCUCUGUGCUUGGUGCUGUGCUGAGCUCCAGGGAAUGUAGGAAUGAGUCAGAACCAGCCUCCCUUUCCAAGAUUCUGUGUGUGUGUGUGUGUGUGCGUGUGUGUGUGUGUGUGCAUGUGUGUGUGUGUGUGUAAGCGUGAGUGUUGAGAGUAGGCGUGGGGUUGGAGGGGUCAGACAGAUAUGGAAACAGAUAGUGUCUAUAGAGUUCAGUAAAUACCACAAUACUGGAAUAGUGGUUUUUGAAAAAAUUGCUCUGCUGUAAUUCAUAUUCAUGACAUAACAUUUAGGACACAUCAUGCAGAGAAAGUCUCCUUCCCUCUUUAUUCUAUAGCCACACACUCCUCCAGCUCAGAAGCACAACUAUAACUUGUUUUGUGUACCUUCCAGAACUAUUCUAUACUUAAAAGACAUUUCCCGCCUCCUUAAACAAAAAUACAGCACUAUUCAAAGUGCAUUGUUCUGUACUUUGCUUUUUUUUUUUUUUUUCACUUACUCUAUCUUGGAAAUAAUUCUGUAUCGGUGCACAGAGCUACCUAGUUCUUAUUUAUGGCUGCAUGGUAUUUUAUUGCCUGCAUGAGCCACAGUUCAUUUAACCAGACCCCUAUCACUGAACAUUUGGUUUAUUUCCAAACUCUUGUUAUUAGAGACAAAGCUGCAAUGACUUUCCUUGCACAUUGGUUUCCACUCGUGUGGGUAUAAAUGCCGGAGAAAUUCUUGGCAGUGGAAUUGUUGCAUCAAAGGGCUCCUGCAUCCUGGUAGAUAUUGCUCAGUAGGGUUUAUACCAACUUGCUCUCCCACCAGGAAUGUGUGAGAGUGUCUGUUUCCUCACACCUACACCCACAUAGUGAGUGAUCACACUUUUCCAAACUUUGCCAAUCUCUUAAUUGAAAAAUGGUUGCUCGGUGUUGUGUUAAUUUGCAUUUAUCUUAUGAGUGAGGUUGAACAUCUUGUCACACGUUUUAGAGUCGUUUGUAUUUUCUGUGAACUGUCUGUAUAAAUAAUUUGCCUAUUUUUCUAUUAGGCUGUUGGUCUUAUUUACUUGUAGGUCUUUACACAUCAAACGCACUCCCCCUUUGUCUGCAUGAUAGGCUUUGAAAAUAUUUUUUUUGAGAACAGUCUGCUUUUAGAUAUAAAUGAGAAGUUGAGAAGUUUCUGCAGAUUGCAUCAUUUUCUGCACGUUGCUGCAGGGCUGCCCAGUGGCUGAGGCAUCAGGGAUACCGUGUAGGGCUCUUAAAGGUGAUGUUAGAAGCCAGGUGGGGGGCCCUGGGGACGGCGGGCAGGGAGUGGGGGGACAAGGAGGUGGAUGUUAGCUCUUGCAUUGGAUAGAAGGGGCUGCCAUAGGAGACAGUGAACUCCCCAAGGUAGGAAGUGGGCAGAACAGGCUGGCCUGGCUUUAAGACCCCUCUGCCCCUGCUCUGAAAUACCUGAGGAUAAGCAACAAGUCAAGUGGGAGGACCCACCAAGAGGGCCAUCAAUUUCUGGCCAUUUAGACCUGAUUGGGUCGUUACUGCAUCUGGAAGCUCCUAGUAACAUUUAAUAGUAAUAUAAACUCCUAGAAUGUAAACUCCAAGAGGCCAGGGUUUAAAUGCUAAAUAAAUGGUUGUGGAAUGAAUGAAUGAAUGAACGAAUGAAUUUGGUCAAAGAAUGUGAGGGGCUACUAUUUCUGAGUGGGGGUGGGGGUAGGCAGAGUUCUCUUUCUCUUCUUUCCUCUUUGAACCUACUCUCUCCUCUUCCUUCCUCUUACCCCAGCUCAGUCAGGUCUUACCAUCUCUCAUGUGGUCCUGGUUCCAGCCUCCUCCCCACUUCCCUGCUUCCAGACGCUCCUCUGUUUUCCUAUUGAUCCUCCUCUCCAGCAGCUUGAUUCGCUUCAAGAAAAUGCAGGUCCCCUGGCUUGUUCCCAGGUGGGGCACCUUUGUUCACGCCUGUAAUCUCAGCACUUUGGGAGGCUCAGGCGGGUGGAUCCCUUGAGCUCAGGAGUUCAAGACCAUCCUGGGCAACAUAAAGAGAGCACGUCUCUACAAAAAAAAUUUAGAAAUAGCCAGGCCUGGUGGCGCACACCUGUAAUUCUGCUACUUUGAAGGCUGAG
rnacentral:lncRNA from 1 species